AUUAAACGCUGGCGGCAUGCCUUACACAUGCAAGUCGAACGGCAGCACGGGGGCAGCCCUGGUGGUGAGUGGCGAACGGGUGAGUAAAGCAUCGGAACGUGCCCUGGAGUGGGGGAUAACGUAGCGAAAGUUACGCUAAUACCGCAUAUUCUGUGAGCAGGAAAGCAGGGGAUCGCAAGACCUUGCGCUCUGGGAGCGGCCGAUGUCGGAUUAGCUAGUUGGUGGGGUAAAGGCCUACCAAGGCGACGAUCCGUAGCGGGUCUGAGAGGAUGAUCCGCCACACUGGGACUGAGACACGGCCCAGACUCCUACGGGAGGCAGCAGUGGGGAAUUUUGGACAAUGGGCGAAAGCCUGAUCCAGCCAUGCCGCGUGAGUGAAGAAGGCCU
rnacentral:rRNA from 1 species